UGUUUGCUCAGUCGGUAGAGCACGGAACUCUUAAUCUCAGGGUUGUGGGUUUGAGCCCCAAGUUAGGCAAAA